rnacentral:rRNA from 1 species
AGAACGAACGCUGGCGGCAGGCCUCAAACAUGCAAGUCUAGGGGACGUAGCAAUACGUCACCGGCGGACGGGUGCGUAACACGUGGGAAUGUACCUUUUGGUUCGGAACAACGCAGGGAAACUUGCGCUAAUACCGAAUGUGCCCUUACGGGGAAAGAUUUAUCGCCAAAGGAUCAGCCCGCGUCCGAUUAGCUAGUUGGUGGGGUAAUGGCCUACCAAGGCGACGAUCGGUAGCUGUUCUGAGAGGAAGAUCAGCCACACUGGGACUGAGACACGGCCCCAGACUCCUACGGGAGGCAGCAGUUGGGAAUCUUGGACAAUGGGGAAACCCUGAUCCAGCCAUGCCGCGUGAGUGAUGAAGGCCUUCGGGUUGUAAAACUCUUUCGACGGGGACGAUAAUGACGGUACCCGUAGAAGAAGCUCCGGCUAACUUCGUGCCAGCAGCCGC